rnacentral:misc_RNA from 1 species
GAUGAAGAACGUAGCAAAAUGCGAUAAGUAAUGUGAAUUGCAGAAUCCAGUGAAUCAUCGAAUCUUUGAACGCACAUUGCGCCCGCCAGUAUUCUGGCGGGCAUGCCUGUCUGAGCGUCAUUUCAACCCUCGUAACCAGCUUGCUGGAUGCGGUGUUGGGGAUCGGCCACCCGUACUGGGAGGCCGUCCCUUAAAUAGAGUGGCGGUUGCGCUGUGACCUCCUCUGCGUAGUAGCAAUAUCUCGCAGGCGGAUAGCGGUGUAACCACGCCGUAAAACCCCCAACUCUUCUUUGGUUGACCUCAGAUCAGGUAGGAAUACCCGCUGAACUUAAGCAUAUCAAUAAGCGGAGGA